CUGCUCGUAUGGCCGCCACGUGUUGUCAUCUGUCGUCAGUCAGUUUAAAACUCUUUUAGUUCGCGGUAAUCAUUAAAUGACCGCACUCUGCCACCUGAUAGCGUCGAUUUUAAGCAGCCUUUAACGAGGUCCUCGUUGUCGAGGGAUGGUCGAGGUACAGCACCUGACAGCUGUCAAAUUGUUGAUCUUGAGAAUAGGUUAGAACUUUCUCUUCUUACUUUUACAACAGGUUUUCGUUCGUCAGCGUCAUGUGACGGGGUGAGGUAAUGCCCUCAAUAGAAAGUAAUCCACUUACUAUUAUUUCUGAUGGCGAAAUGUUUAGUUAGCUGCCGACCACAAACGGAAACGUGGCAUGCAGCAUGGUGGCAUACAUUUUACAAUUUCAUGUACUUACAAUCACGUAAAAUGUUAUCAGUUAUAUCUUGAAAUUUUAGUCAUCACUCUGCCGGUGAUUAUAUUUUUGUACUUCCUACUCUGUAGUAAAAUUAAUCAGAAACGAAUCAUUAGAGUAAUCACACAACUCCGUGUGAUAAGUGUUAGUACAAGCUCAACAAAACGUUGAAUCAUUUACUGUUGUACCUGUGAACUUAUUACAAUGAAGUUGGAAAAAAAUACCAGCGAUGAAAACGCUGACAAUACUAAAGUUGUGCGAGUGGUGUUUGUGUCCUUGUUGUUGGAUCUUCUCGCUUUCACCAUGAUUUUACCCUUACUGCCAGCCCUUUUGGACCAUUAUGAACAGCAGGAUAAUAAACAGGGAUUAUACUCAACUAUACUAAGUUACAUCCAGAGGAUUCAAGUGUAUUUUGAUGUGCCAGCUCGAUUCAACUCUGUUUUGUUUGGAGGAUUUUUGGGCUCCAUGUACUCUUUCUUACAAUUUGUGUCAUCCCCAAUUGUUGGAGCAUUAUCUGAUGUAUAUGGGAGGAAACCGCUAAUGCUGUUAUGCCUAGUCGGGAUAGCAGCUUCGUACCUCCUUUGGGCAGUAUCGCACAAUUUUGCUUUAUUUGUCUUUGCCAGAUUUGUUGGUGGCUUAAGUAAAGGCAAUGUUAGUUUGUCCAUGGCCAUUAUAAGUGACGUCACAUCUCCAAAAUCCAGAGGCAAAGCUAUGGCUUUGGUAGGAAUAGCAUUUUCGGUAGGCUUUGUUGUGGGACCUAUGAUAGGUGCAACGUUUUCCUGUCUAUCUUCUGGGCACAGAGAAGGUCAGUGGUAUGCAAUACCAGCCUUAUUUGCUCUCUUCUUGGCACUCAGUGAUUUACUAUACGUUUGGUUUAACCUGAGUGAAAGUUUACCUCCAAAAUACAGAGCAAAAACUUUGGUUUCUGGUAUGUCAGAAGCAUUAGCAUACAUCAACCCUCUGGAUUUAUUCCAGUUCAAUGGAGUAUCUGGCUUGUCAUCAGCAGAAUUGCAGAGUCUUCGAAAAUUAGGUAGAACAUACUUCCUGUACCUGUUUGUCUACAGUGGAUUAGAAUUCACACUAACAUUCCUAACGCAUCAUUUACUUGGAUUCACUAGCAUGCAGCAGGGUUGGAUGUUUCUAGGCAUCGGGCUGACCAUGGCUACUUUACAAGGUGGUUGGGUUCGCAAAAUACCUGCUCACAAAACCAAAUCUAUCGCUGAACUGGGCUUGUGGCUGGUUAUCCCAUCAUUCAUAUGCAUCGGUAUAGCUAAGGGAACCUUGAUGUUGUAUUUUGGCGUAUUUCUAUUUGCAGUGUCAACAGCUAUGGUGGUGACAUGCAUGAUGACUCUGGUAACCAGAAUAGGUCCUGAAAGUCAAAAGGGUUCAAUAACUGGAAUUUUUCGAUCUCUUGGAGCCCUUGCCCGAGCUUGUGGUCCAGUCGUUACUUCGAUUGCAUUUUGGAGCGUAGGCAGCACUGUCACGUAUCUAACCGGUGCGCUGGCUCUAAUAUUACCACCUCUCAUACUUCGAUACACACACACGUCCUAAACCUAUUUUAUAAGCUUCGAAGGUAUUAUCAUCACAUUGUACUUCCACAAACAUGAUUUUUUCCGUUCCAUCUUUCCGACGACGCAGAUACCGAAAUAUCAAAAUAAACAACUUAAAAGUAUUC
rnacentral:misc_RNA from 1 species